rnacentral:rRNA from 1 species
CGCGGCCUAUCAGCUUGUUGGUGAGGUAACGGCUCACCAAGGCAUUGACGGGUAGCUAGUCUGAGAGGACGAAUAGCCACACUGGGACUGAGACACGGCCCAGACUCCUACGGGAGGCAGCAGCAGGGAAUCUUGCACAAUGGACGAAAGUCUGAUGCAGCGACGCCGCGUGGGGGAUGAAGGCCCUAGGGUCGUAAACCCCUUUCAGUGGGGACGAAACUGACGGUACCCACAGAAGAAGGUCCGGCCAACUACGUGCCAGCAGCCGCGGUAAGACGUAGGGACCGAGCGUUGUCCGGAAUUAUUGGGCGUAAAGAGCUCGUAGGCGGUUGCGUAAGUCGGAUGUGAAAACUCGAGGCUCAACCUCGAGACGCCAUCCGAUACUGCGCUGACUUGAAUCCAGUAGGGGAGUGUGGAAUUCCUGGUGUAGCGGUGAAAUGCGCAGAUAUCAGGAGGAACACCUAUGGCGAAGGCAGCACUCUGGGCUGGUAUUGACGCUGAGGAGCGAAAGCAUGGGUAGCAAACAGGAUUAGAUACCCUGGUAGUCCAUGCCGUAAACGGUGGGCACUAGGUGUGGGGACUUUCAACGGUUUCCGUGCCGAAGCUAACGCAUUAAGUGCCCCGCCUGGGGAGUACGG